GAACUGGGAAGCUCAAGACCUGAUUUAAAGAGACAGACUCCGGAGCAUUCCUGGUCUUGGCAUGAAUUAUUCAGGUGCUCCAAAAAUGAGGGACCAAAAUCAUCUGCCUCCUUGGCUGUACUGCAUGGAGACCUUCUGCCUUCAGCCCUUAAGGAAUUGAAGCUCACUGCCAAGGCCGGUGCUCCCUCUCAGGUUUUCAUGGCAGCUGACUUCUGGUUGCUGCUCACUGCUCCCCCUGUAAGAAAAAGGGGCUUCAGGGCAGCAGGCAGCCUUCAUUAAUUGGUGCUGAACCCUUCAUUUGGGGAAGAGAAGCCUAAGAAGAACCUACAGCCAUUGAGCAAGGGGACCCAUGUUCUCUGUGUUCUCUGGAAGAAGAGCCCUCUCUCUGGGAGUUGUGUACAGUAGGUGUUUUAAUAAAUGUAUGUCCACUUGAG